rnacentral:rRNA from 1 species
UACGUAGGGGGCAAGCGUUGUCCGGAUUUAUUGGGCGUAAAGAGCGUGUAGGCGGUCAGGUAGGUCCGUUGUGAAAACUCGAGGCUCAACCUCGAGACGCCGAUGGAAACCAUCUGACUAGAGUUCGGAAGAGGCGAGUGGAAUUCCCGGUGUAGCGGUGAAAUGCGCAGAUAUCGGGAGGAACACCUAUGGCGAAGGCAGCUCGCUGGGACGUUACUGACGCUGAGACGCGAAAGCGUGGGGAGCGAACAGG